rnacentral:lncRNA from 1 species
AAAAUAAUAACAUUAUUCAAACUUAUUUUUUGUUUUCUUCACUGUAGGGAAAUGAAUGAUUAUUGAAUGUAUUGUUGUUUCAACUAGUCAACGAAGACCUCAUAGAAUAUAAAACCCAUUCUAGAAAAGUUGAUCAUUUCAAACCAUUUUUUUAUUUGAAAGAAAUCUGGUUAAAAGGCCUAUCCUAUUUUCUAUGGCAC